rnacentral:rRNA from 1 species
UGGGGAAUAUUGGACAAUGGGCGAAAGCCUGAUCCAGCCAUGCCGCGUGUGUGAAGAAGGUCUUCGGAUUGUAAAGCACUUUAAGUUGGGAGGAAGGGCUGCAAGUUAAUACCUUGUAGUUUUGACGUUACCAACAGAAUAAGCACCGGCUAACUUCGUGCCAGCAGCCGCGGUAAUACGAAGGGUGCAAGCGUUAAUCGGAAUUACUGGGCGUAAAGCGCGCGUAGGUGGUUUGGUAAGAUGGAUGUGAAAUCCCCGGGCCCAACCUGGGAACUGCAUUCAUAACUGCCUGACUAGAGUGCGGUAGAGUGUGGUGGAAUUUCCUGUGUAGCGGUGAAAUGCGUAGAUAUAGGAAGGAACACCAGUGGCGAAGGCGACCACCUGGACUGAUACUGACACUGAGGUGCGAAAGCGUGGGGAGCAAACA